rnacentral:rRNA from 1 species
GACGAACCGUGCAAACGUUGUUCGGAACCACUGGGCUUAAAGGGUGCGUAGGCGGGUGAUCAAGUCCGGGGUGAAAUCCUCCAGCUUAACUGGAGAAUAGCCCUGGAUACUGGUUGUCUUGAGGAAGGUAGGGGCAUGUGGAACUUCCGGUGGAGCGGUGAAAUGCGUAGAUAUCGGAAGGAACGCCGGUGGCGAAAGCGACGUGCUGGACCUUUUCUGACGCUGAGGCACGAAAGCCAGGGGAGCAAACGGG